UUGAUGUUACAGUCAAGGGACUUCACCAU
rnacentral:sRNA from 1 species